ACGAGCUGCAGGUCACUUUGGUGCCUGAAGUAAGUAAUGAAACGACUAAUUAAGAAAAGAAUUAAUGUUAGUCCCUGUUGCUGCCAUGUUGGUUGUGUAACUCUAUGGCAAACGCGUGGGGGAUCAGUCGGCGGGUGUUAA